CGUUAUCUUAGAAUAACAGAUCUUAAAAGGUGAUGCAAAUGUCUUCAAAUAUUGCCUUGUUUAGACCGCAAUUAAACCAAGUUUUGGACAUAGUUGUUAAUCUGGUACGAUGGUCCAAGCACGAAACAGCAGCAGUGAUGUAAUGCGUGGUAGAUUGAAACCAGCAUUUAGGAGGAAGUAACAUACAAUAAACACCUUUAUAUUACGGGUAUUGUUCAAGACACAUAUCACGAACUACGCAACGAAAUUCAAUAAUAUCAUUACGGCAGUAUAUGUGUAAUACCGUGUCCUAUAUACAUGGGGCGGAAACUAAAUAUGUGGUCGUUGACGCGAUGCGAACUAAACCUUGAGUAUUUAACAUGCAUAUGUAGUAUGUGACGUUUUAAUAAAUAAUUUACCCAAAAAUUUCGAGGGGGCUGUCUUACGUGUAAGAAACGGUAUGCAUGGGGGUAUACAAUAAUAAUAUAUACCUUAGGUGCACGGGAGAAUGUAGUGGCCCAAAUUCUUAAGUACGGACGUUCACACUCUUAUAACAUCAUAUAUAUUUAUACGUUGAAAAGUGUUUCGGUUUUUUCAUUUUCGGAAAUUUUAUUGUUGAGAUAUGAAUUAUGGUAACAUGCGUAUUAACGUCGAACAUAGGCAGUGAUUAAAUGACUUCGACAUACGAGUAAAUACAUGAGCGCGGUCAAUCGAGUUGUCCUAUACCAAAGCGCUAAGAACGAAGCACAAUUAUUAGAUUAAGUUUUCUGCUGGUACUUGAAUCGUUGAUGGCAGUUUGGUAUGAAGAGCAAAAUGUGACGUUUGCUCAAGUAUAAUCUUUAUUAAUUACCGGUUCAGACCGGUCGGGCAUAAAAAGAAAAGUCCCGUAAUAGCGGAAUAUACGUUCAUGGACAAAAGACACUCGUAUGCAACAUACCAGGCACGACAAGUUUAAGUGAGUUGUUCUAAUAAGACACCGAUGGUUCUUGGAAGAUUUUGAUUCAAUGAUUUGCAUUUUGUCGCUGAUAAUUGUGUUAUGAAUGUCGAUAAGAGUGUAUACAACAGAAAAUAUACUCACAUUGGGUAAAUGGUAAUGUAGGUAUAACACAAAAUUUGUUCUUAAAACAAAUCAGAAUAUAGAUGGAUUACAGGGGUUUCGAAUGUUAGCAUAUAUAUCACAACAUCAGAGUACACAGCCAUUUUGAAUAAAUUCCGAAAAUGCGCCUUUAUUGGUAAAUCAUUUACAUUCUUGAUGCUGCGAAUACAGGCUGCUAAAGGUCAUGUUCAAUUGCCUUUCCGUAGGUGGCAAUAUCAUCAAGUCCAAGGUUCGGCAUUUGGGUCAAAGAAAUGAUUCAGCAACAUUCUUGCACUUGGAAAUGAAAUGCGAGCUUCGCACUGCGGUUUGUCAUUUAACUGGUCAAAGUGCGAAUACUUUGCAGUUAUGUCGCCUCUCACACACCAGACAAGGUGCAAUUUAAAAAGCCAAAGCAACAAACGCGAAUUCAAGUCAUUUUUUUGCUGAAAUUAGGCCGAAUUUACGAGAUGAGAAUGUUGAUUGUGGGCGAAAGGAAACGUAUUGUUUCUGUGGGGGUGGAUAUGAGAUGCGAAAAUUAAAGCUUUAAAACUUAAUUGGACACCCGUACGCUCUUCAUCAGCCAAUCGCUAAUCCUUUUUAAUUAAAUAUCUAAAUUAAAAAUACUUUGGAAAAAUUUAAAAUUUUAAAGAAAAUGAACGAAAAUGGAAGUACGAAGAUAUUUAGAGUCGGGGGUAAGGUGGGACGGGAUCUCAAUCUUUUUUUUAGAGCGUUGUUAAUUGUUUUAAAAGAGCGUUGUUAAUUGUAAAAAAAGACGAUCAUGAAAUGAUGGAUUUAAAAGCUAACAGUAUACGUCGUAACCUGCAGUAUUAUAUGCGUAAAAAAUGGUGAACUCGGUAUCAGGAUUGUUGGUUGUAAGUUGAAACUAGAUUAAGUAUUUGAUAACCUUGCAUAACCCUGCUUAAACGGGCUAGGGCUGGUGGGAAGUGCUUAAUGCCGGAAAUCGUUACGUGGGGUUAUAUGUGAACGUUUGCGUUGCUGGUAAUGUUGAAUACGAACGUGUUAGACCAGUUAUGUGUGUGUGUGUGGGGGGGGGGGUGCUGUACGAUUUUUAUAGCUAUGCUGUUGCGACCCAUACAAUGCAUUUUCAGCCCAAAACUGAAAAAUAUUCAAUUUUUGAGAUUGACCCGUAAUGUAACUAAUGAAAAAGUUUAAAAAAAGAAAUAAGUCAUAACUUUUAGCUGGAACGAAUGCGCAAAUGCUCUGUACUCGCUCAUAAACGGCCGGCUUAUAAUACCGGAUAUCGGCACGGAUAAAACACCUGUUCAAAGGCUUGAGGAUAUAACGCGACUAUUCUGCGAGCUACUGAGCCGGCCCAGCACAAAAGCUCGAAUAAAGCAGAGACAUAAUCACAGGAUUUAAGAAGCUCCGGGUCCAAAAAUAUAAGCUUGGUCCAGAUUAAAAUUACGGCGUAUAUAAGCGCGGUGUGGUACGACUGUCGCGCGACGAUGCGAGUUAAAGUGCUUCGUUGCGAUUUGUGCCAUGCCAUAAUAACAGGAACUACAUUUGGAAUUUGUAUUUUAUGAACUAAAAAAACCUUUGAAUUCUUUACCAGCCUCAGUGGUGAUGGAGCUAUGCAAAACGGAAUAACAUAUGCCAUACGCUAUGAGGAAGAUUUAUAUUCUCCGCACCCCAAGGGCUCAACGGAUCGUCCAUUUUGAAUGUUAGUUUGAGCAAUAAGGGUGGACGGUUAGAAUCUUAGCCUUAUCGCAACCAACCUUUAACUUACAAACCACUUCGGGCGCAAUGCGGAGUCUUAUCUAUAAACAACUCCAACCUUUCGAAGCUUGUUUGUUGCAGAGUGCUCUCGACUACGAAGGGUAAGCAACCGCAUUCUACGGCUCGCGGGGAGAUUAGCAAAAAACAAUCGCCAUCGGCGUUUAAUUUGCGUUGAUUUUGGAAACUGAGCGAACGUACUCUGUGUAUGGAUUGGAAACUUACUUUAUUAAACCUUAGAAAACGCAUUUUAAAGGGUUAAAUUGCCAUACCGUUUUGGUCGGAAAUUUGGGCUUUACGAAAACAUAUGUAGUUGGUAUGUAUGUUGUGGUGUUGUUUUGUUAGAUGUUUAUUUCUGCCGCGCGGUGAAAGUAAAAGCACAUCACUAAACUAUUGGAAGCCAGUGACGGUUGCUGCUGGUGGAAAUUUCCGAAGGCCAGAGAAUGGUCUACUAAAGUAUUGUCCUUUGUAAUACUAAGGGUGGCCCAGGAGAAGUUUAUUUGUUUAAGUUAGGCCUAUUAUUUGAAGCGAGCGAGUCAACGGCGGAAAGGACUUAAGUGUGUUUUUGAAGCUUGUAAAAACAACCCACAAAGAAAUGUGCACACUCGUCGUCGAGCUUUAAAGUUAUGAGGCUUGGAAUUAUGAAUAUGAAAAAACCUAAACAAGAACUCCAAUGCGAGGAACAUAUCUUGCCAAAACUGUGCAUUUUCGGUGACAGUGUCCAAUGUUCGUCAUUAAAUAUUCGGUGGGUGAAACUAUAGCCUAGUUCGUUCUUUCAUUUCAUAUCACGCGUGUAGAUGUAGCACUCAUGAGAGCUGCUUCUGUUUGGGCAACGCGGCCCAAAUACCCAAAAUUCUAAACGAUGCGAGUAGCAACAAACAAAUGUACAGCGGACAUGAGCAAACCUAAUAAGCUGGUUUGGUUUUGAAAGGAGAAAGAAGCGACACGUACUACACACAACGAUGACAUAUUGCACACUCGUAAGAAAGGCUAAUAUACCGCUUUGAAUAAAACCGGUGUAGAAAAUGACACGAAACGUUCAUCGAAGGUAUUUCAGCUAAAUAAAUAUACACAAGUGCUAGGAUUUUUUCUAACGAAAUUGUGAUAAAAUUUAACCUGUGCUUUUACAAUUAGAACAUGUAAGUGGCCCAGUUAAAAUUGUCGCUUUUAAUGCAUAGUGACGUAAUACGCACCU